CGAACCCGUGUCCCCUGCAUCGGUAGGCGGACUCUCAACCACUGCGCCACCAGGGAAGCCCAGUACUAGUUUAUUGAUUGCAUAGUAUUACAUUAUAAGAAUGGAAUAAUUUAUUAAACUAUGACUCUCCUUUUUGGAAUUUAGGUUGUUAACAGAUUUUCACAACAGAAAACAAUGUCGUCAUAGGAAGAUCUUUUGAUGUAUCUGCAAUAGUGCAUUUCUGAAUCUUAAGCAUCAGUCUGGGCUUGCAUAGGAGGUGACGUUGCUGGAUCCAGAUAGUCAUAGAGUGACACGGAGCAGAGGAUGAGGACGGCAAGCCGUGGAAAAGUGUGUGGGAAUUCUGCAGUGUUGAAACAAGACAUCUCUUGAAGUAUGUGGCCCACUCCAGAGAUGUGCUCCUUCCCCAGGACCCUCCUCUUUGGACUCCAGAGUCCAUCAGCUGGGGAAGAACUAGAUGGUUCAAAUAAGAUGGAUCAAAGAGGAUGCCCCUCGAAAGACAAUAUCAACCUCUGAGGGUGUGCUCAAUAAUGUUUAUACAAAGAAGAGAUGCGAGGUCCUUGGUCCCGUUUGUAAAGUGAAGAAUCCUUUGCCAUGGAAAAUAAUCUGUCUCCAAUUUAACCAUUAGAGAAGUUCAGACUUUAACAUAUUUGAUUUUUAUAAAUAAGGUAAGUGAUGGACACAAAAGAGCUCUAGAAAUACUUGAAGACAUGGGCUUGGGAAAAUGAAGUAUUGAAUAAUACCGAUAGAUCUAAGUGAAAAGGCUGAAAAAAAGUGAAUAAGAAAGGAGGUAAAUAACACAGAAAUAGGACGUACAUUUAAACUCGCUUUAGCCUCUGGGUACAGUAAGAUCUUUUACAGAUGAACGCUCGUGUAGAUGGUGCAUUUCCUUCUAACAUGGGCUCUCAGAGGAGUGUGUGGCCAUUUGAUUACAUAAAAAAGGAAUUGGAAGACAAGAAACCACCCAAGAGGUGGCUUGUAUCUGGGAGGAAUCAUUUAGGUUUGAUUCCUAUGAGGUACUUCCAAAGCUACAAGACUUAAAACUCACUAACUGACUUGGAACUCUUGUUGUCAGACAAAAUCCUGGGGUGUGUGUGUGUGUGUGUGUGUGUGUGUGCAUGUGUUCAGAGUAUUCUGCUAGGAGUUUUGGGGCUUGUGGAGGAGGAAGACAUAUCUAUCCUAAAAAGAAGAUUUUCAAUGUAAUAAAACAAAAAAGAGUCAAAUCAAAUUAGAGGCUGUAGAGCAGAUAUGUACGGAUAAUUAUAUACUUAUGGGGUGUACAUAAUCACUAAUUAAAAUAAGAGCUGAGGGAGACUGAAGUAAUGUGGUCUAAGCACAGGCAGGUCUAAUGGAAGACAGUGUCUCCCAAAACACAGUGAUUUAAUGUCUAUAUAAACACUUUUCUGAACUAAGACAAUUAGCACGAAUGUAACUCAAAUCUGCGUAAGUUACAAGUGAAUCCUUCAGAACUAACAUUAAGCUCUGUAAAUGCCAUUAUAAAUCAUUACAUCUGAAAUACUUCCUAACAAAGAAUUCUUACAAGAGACCUUUAGGAAGGUGACCAGGUAUUCAGCCAGGUCAGUUUUUUAGCCUUUGAAGGAUUUACCAUUCCUCAAAUCAAAACCUAACCAUAAAUGGAAAUUAAAGACAAGCUCCUCCCAACCCAAAAGAAGCACUAAAAGUAAAUGAACCGACUAUACAUCUCUAGGAGGUGUGUUCUCAAGGUGAGCAUUUCUCAUGACAAGAUACUUUCAGAAGGCAGCGCUGUGCUGAAGUGCUGAGCUCGGCAGAACUUGUCUGUUCCCAUCAGUUAGCACAGCGUCGUCUGGCCACUGCUCUGCGUAUUGACGGUGUGUAAACGCGCUUAUGUAAGGAAAGGAGAAACAAAUAUACAACCAAUGCAGCGCUGGCUACUAGUGCCCUUCGGAGUAUGCGUGUUUUGGAUUGUGCUUUAUAUACAACCCAAAAUCCUCCCUCAAUAAAUUUGUACAAUAAGUUGCAAGCUCUUUGGAGAGCAGCAUCACAAUACACAAUAUGGAUAUGCAUUUAUUUCAUCUUCUUUAACUGGAUCGUCACUUCCUAUUACAGGGAUCCAUCUGUGUUCCAACUAGACACUAACGGUGUAUGCUAAUGGGACACCUGGUUGAUUUUUUUUUUUUUUUUUGCCUCUAAAACAAAAUUAUCUGUGUUUGUAUGAAACCCGUGACUUCUCUUUAUUAGCAUCACAGUUGGAGUUGAUUGUCCGAAGGAGCCCCCUUCUGUAGUCUCUUCUCCCCAGAAAUGUCCAGACACAUCCUGGUUGCUAUUACGAACCUUGGCUCUAGGUUUGAAUCUAGGCUGUACCUCUUAUUAACUGUGCAACUUUGAAGAAGUUACUUAAUAAGUUUUCUCAUUGGUAAAAUAUGGAUAAUAGUGCCUAUCUCAAAAAACUGUUUAGCAAAUGAAAGGAGAUAAUGCACAAGUGUGUGGCACAUAGUAGCCAAUAAAUGGCAGCCACUAUGAUAAUGGACCACCCAAGUGCAUUUGAUGAUGUGCAGGCAAGGCUGUGUGGUCCACUUAGGGGAGCACUCUGAAGGUACCCGUCACAACACGAGCAGAGGCAGCCACCCAACCACAGUGCUGCCAUCAGGAGGUCAAAGGCCUCCUGUCGUGGUCCGAGCACGGGAUGGAAAAGAAUUUCCCGACACAAGGCACAAAGUAAGGGAGAUAGAGUUUAUUAAAGAGAAGGGUCGCUGAAACAACAGCGGGCCGACUUCCUGGUAGCCAGGGAAAGUCGACAAUGAGCAUGGGUUGCUUGUCUAUUUUUAUAGCCAGGGAACCUGUAAGUCAUCUGCUGACUGGGCAGAGUGUGUAUACUUUCAGUGUGCUGAGCGGGAGAAAAACACGGCAAAUGUCUUUCCUUAUAUGGGAUGGGAAAGGGACAGGGCAUGCUGCUUGGGAGAGCUCUGGGACAUUGCAGUGGUCACAGUGUGACAGAGCGAUAGGAGCCCUGUAACUCUUUGUUCAGGCAAUAUCGUCCCUUUGAGUUUACCUUGUUCUUUGUCCUUGGAGCACACCACAUUCCCCCCUCUUCUUAUUUACAGGGCCAAUUCUUUGGCCCUAUUGGAUACCCUGCUCAUGUCUACCUACCUGCCUAGCUCCUUCUCUGGCAUUCAGGAACCCUUUUUGUAAGGAGAAGGGGCGACAAUCUCUCUGGCUGCUUCCUGCUGGGCAGGGGUGUCGUAGGGGCCCUGGGUCCCAAUGCCCAUUCUCUGUCAGGGUAUAUUUACAGAGGGGAUGAGAGCCCACAGAAUGAUAAGGCGGCUUCUUCCAAUGUAGUCCAUGUGCCAACUGGCUGGUACCCUUGUUAUAGCGCCAUCUGGAAUUAAAUCUUUUGAACCUGUUGGGAGAUGAACUUAGAUAAUGUGUUAAUAAUGCAGGGGUCAAACAACGAAACAAAGGCUAUCAGGAUUAAUGGUCCCAGCAAGGGCAAUAGCCGUGUCCAUAUCUGGAUCCCCACAGAGGAGACGAGGCUGGAAAGCCAGCUGGGGCCCUGUCCUGCUCUCUCUUUUAAAUCUUCUAUUCAUUUGAUGUUUUUCUUUAGAAUCUGAAGGUCUUCGUCAAUGUGGCCGGAGGUAUUAAUAUAGAAGCAGCAUGUCUCAUUUAGUAGGACAGAGACACCCCCGCCUCAGCUGUUAUAACAUUAAGGGCCCUCCUAUUUUGUAAAACCCCCUCGGCCAGAGAGCCUGGGGCUGACUGCUGUUCCUCGGUGGCUGCUACCGCUGCCUUCCAAGGUUCCUGGACCAUGAUGGGUCAAAUUUUCCCAGUUCCUGAGGAUACAGCCGAGGGGUGAGUCCGAGGGAGGCUCCCGAGACGAACCAGAACCCAUUCUUAGCCUGUACGCUGUAGAAUGGGCGUACUGAGAGUCACCGGCUGACAGAGAGGCGUCCCCUUUGUCCUGGUGACCUCUCCGUGCGACUAAGGCACAAAAUGGGCCGACUGUCCCAACAAUCGCAUCCGACCGUGAGAGGUGACCCCUGAGCGUGCGACUAAGGCACAAACCAUGCGACUAAGGAACCGUGAGACUCGAGCAGAGAAAGGAAAGAAAAGAGAGAUUCCCGGGACCCACCGGGUGGCUCACCGUUUGGCGAUUCCCUGAAACGUGAAAGGCACUCCUGGGAUGGCUCAGAGGCAACGCCUAGGCUCCUGUAAGUCAAUCCGGACCGAGAAAAAGGUGAACGUAACAGAGGAGACAGGCUGAGGAAUCGGCCUCCUAGUCCUGCCGGGAAGGCGGCGGCCAAGGGGAGGGGGCUCAGCGUUCUGCAUGAACCAAUAUGUGCCUCACGGUGCACGGAAGUUGCCUUGCUGGGGGCAGACGCUCUAACAGUCCGGUCUGUUCUGAGACCCCCUUAUCCUUCACGGGAGUUUUCAAGCGGCAGGCUCCCUGAUGGCUUUUAAAUGCCUGACCCAUGCCCGCACGAUACCAAUCGGCCCAGUCUGCAGUCAGAAGGAAGACAGAGGGACCCUCACCCGUUCUGGGCGGCAGUUACUGGGGCGAAGUGAGCCGUGGAGCCUUCGGAACACACCGGGGUGUGGCUCUGGCCAGAGUCCUCUGUUGUUUCCCCGGCAACUUGCCUGUUCACAGAGGGUCCUACGGAAUGAGGAGAGGAGGUGGGGGAGGAGAUCGCCCCAGGAGAUAUUCCUGUAUGGGCCACCAAAAUGUCGUGGUCCAAGCGCGGCUUGGAAAAGAAUUUCCAGACACAAGGCAGAAUGUAAGGAAGAUAGAGUUUAUUAAAGAGAAGGGUCGCUGCAAGAACAGCGGGCCGACUUCCUGGUAGCCUGGGAAAGUUGACAGUGAGCAUGGGUUGCUUGUCUGUUUUUAUAGCCAGGGAACCUGUAAGUCAUCUGCUGACUGGGCAGAGUGUGUAUACUUUCAGUGUGCUGAGCGGGAGAAAAACACGGUAAAUGUCUUUCCUUAUAUGGGAGGGGAAAGGGACAGGGCAUGCUGCUGGGGAGGGCUCUGGGACAUUGCAGUGGUCACAUUGGAACAGUGAUGAGUCCUGUAACUCUUUGUUCUGGCAAUAUUGGCCCUUUGAGUUUACCUGUUCUUUGUCCUUGGAGCUCACCACACCUCUCUGCUACUUGCCAGGACUACAUUAGUGUGUAACAUCAUCUUUUUUAUUUAUUGAGGUAUAUUGAUUUACAAUAUUAUAUUAGUUUCAGGUAUACAACUUAGUGAUUUGGUAUUUUUAUAGAUUAUA